rnacentral:rRNA from 1 species
UGGGGAAUAUUGGACAAUGGGCGCAAGCCUGAUCCAGCCAUGCCGCGUGAGUGAUGAAGGCCCUAGGGUUGUAAAGCUCUUUCACCGGUGAAGAUAAUGACGGUAACCGGAGAAGAAGCCCCGGCUAACUUCGUGCCAGCAGCCGCGGUAAUACGAAGGGGGCUAGCGUUGUUCGGAUUUACUGGGCGUAGAGCGCACGUAGGCGGACUUUUAAGUCAGGGGUGAAAUCCCGGGGCUCAACCCCGGAACUGCCUUGGAUACUGGAAGUCUUGAGUAUGGUAGAGGUGACUGGAAUUCCGGGUGUAGAGGUCAAACUCGUGGAUAAUCGGAAAAACACCGGUAGCGAAGGCGGCUCACUGAACCAUUACUGACGCUGAGGUGCGAAAGCGUGGGGAGCAAACAGG